rnacentral:tRNA from 1 species
GUUCAUAUAGUUUAAAAAAAACGAUAAAUUGUGGCUUUAUAAAUGCAUUCCCGCUAUGAACU